rnacentral:lncRNA from 1 species
CUCCGGCGAGGGUAUCUGAAACUCUGGGUAUCUUUCCGAGAGAAACUUGGACAUCUCUUCGAUGGUCGUCGUGGCCGAGGAACAUAUGUACCGCCCCUCGGCGUCGGAGUGCUCGAAGAGGAAGAUGUGUGCUCUCACCACAUCGUCCACAUGAACGAGACACGUUUUGAGGAGAAAAGAGUAGUCGUUCUCAUUCCCUGAUGAUUUCGAACGGGAUUUAUUGCAGCCAAAUUAAGAUUUUAAGAAGGGUGUGUCAUCGAAAUGAACAUGAACAUAUGCAUGGAUAGAUAGCUACAUGGUGACUUAAGCGUGACGCCGGGGUGGUGGUUUCCCCGCUAGCGUCGCCGGGGGGUUUACGGCGCACUGUCGGUGCAAGCUGGUUCCUCCUGUCCCAAAAAAAAAAAAAAAACAUAUGCAUGGAUAGAUAAAAGUCUUGUCUUCCUUUGGCUUGUAUUUGAUAUUGAACAUGGGAACAUUGUCAAAUUAUGAAUUUCUGCAUCUGUUUGGUGAUCAAAUCAGUCAAAUUCAUCAUGAAUUUGACUAUAAUACGGUACAAGGAAAAUUGUUCAAAAAGUCUUAAACUUAUUAUAUGCAGGUCAAUUUAGUCCUAAAUAUUUUUAUUUCCAUAUUAUCUAAGGAAUUCAAACCUAAACUUUAUUUACAAUGUGUAGAUUUAGUCUUAAAUCUUUCGACUAUAUGUCAAUUUAGUUUUACACAUUUCAAUUGUGUCAAUUUAGUAUUAAAACCUUUUAAUAAUUUGCUAAUGUGGUCAUUCCGGUCAAAUAUCCAAAUAAUAUGCUUAUGAAUGAAUUGACAAAUCAAGACGAGUGCUAAAAAAGUCAUAAAUAUAUUACAUUGGUAAGAAGUCAGUCUCAAAGUUUUCGAUUUGAUCAAUUUAAUACUAAACCACUUUGGUACCAAUUGAAUUUAUAUGGCUAAUUUAUAAUGGAAAUUACUAACGUGGAUGUUGAUCAUUCUAUAUGACACGACUAGUGUUCAUGUGGACAUUUUCUAAUACGAUAAGUUUAGGAAUUAAAAGACUUAAGUCCAAAUUGGUAGCAAUGCAAAUUGCUUAGGAUUUUUUUAGUGCUUUUCCUUAGGAAAUUUUCAAAAGGUUUAAAACAAAAUUGAUAUAAAGAAAAAUUUAAGACUAAAAUAGCAAAUCUUUAAAUAAUUUAGGACUAAAUUGAUAAAUUAAAAUAUUUAGGACUUAAUCGGCUAUAAUACGAUAAGUUUAGGAAUUUUUGAACAAUUAUCUCGUAUGGUACAUGUAUUAUGAUUAGUUAUUGCAAAGUGUAUAUGUCAUGUAAAUUAAGAUUAUAUGAAUCAUUAGUUAUGAGAGUUCUACUGUGGUCACACAUUAUCAACGGUCCAUAUAAACUUAGCUUAAGGAUGGUGUGAUAUGUUUUGUGCAGAACAUACCUAAUACCAAAGCCAGCGCAAUCUGAACAGAUCCGGCGAAUUUGGGACAAAUGAAGGGUCCAUGGACCAACGUGGGAACCACUGUCACCACUUCCAGCCCGUGCCUCUCUCCGAACUCGAGAACCGCCUUCUCGGUCAACGUCUUUGAGAUUGCGUACGAGGCUGCAAGCAUCGGCACUUCUCUGAGGGACUUGACGUCGCUCCAGGUGUCCUCAUCCUGUAUCUCAGCGUUGGAGUUGUUAAAUUGAACUGCAGCCGAGCUUGAAGUGUACACGACCCGCUUCACGGUCUUGGAAUUCAAGCAGGCCCUCAGGAUGCCUAACGCUCCGUCAAUGCAUCUUUUGGUAACGACUGGCUCUGGCUCUCUGUCCUCAAAGUCCACCGGGGUGGCGACGUGGAAGACUCCGACACAACCAUCAAUGGCUGGGCCGAAACUCUCGGGAUUGCCGAGGUCAGCGAUGAGGAUUCGGAGCCUUUCCGAUGCUCCUGGUAGAUUUUUCAAGAAGUCGGUAUCUCUGCUGCCAUCUGAUCAGAAAGUAUCUUUAAUCGCGUCAUGAAUAAAACCUUCUAACACUUAAUUGGAUAUCAACGCUUCAAUGGGAGAAACUGGUCCAGGAAAAAUCCACUAAUGCAGCACUUGACUUAUUCAAAAAAUACUCUAGGUUACACCAUAAAACUCAGCAAAACAUGGACUGCAAGAAAAGCUGAUUCAAGAGAACCUAUUCUAGCCGCCACCGCAUACGGUGCAUGUACAUCUCAGUCAUAUAAGAAAAACCAGAUCAUCGUGAACCGAUUCCAUUGCCAUUAACUUAACCCAUAUUUAGUUCAUCUUGUGCGUCUUCAGGCUUGAAAAGGCAGCAAAAAGGGGUUGCCAAGGGCCUAUUUAGUAAUCAUUUUAUUUCCAGAAACAAUUUUUGAUCGGAAAUGAUUCUUUUUAUUCUAUUCCUCAUAAGAAUUUCUAAACAUUUGAAGGCAUUUGGUAAUGGCCUGAAAUCUCUAUUCCAGGAAUAGAAUUGCGUUUGGUAUCCCCCUCAAAAUUUCUAAUUCAAACCAUUUUCGUUUAAUUUUUUAAUUAUUUUUUCUCUUUUUUUUUUUUCUUUCUCUUCUUCUUCAAGCUUUGGCCGAUCGUUGGCCUCCUGACUGGUGACCGGCUAGAGUAGCGUCAGUCAUCUCGAGGGCCAACGACCUUACUAGAGUGUCACUAGCCCCCAGCAACCUUGCUAGAGCGUCGUUGGGCCAACGACGUCGUGCCUCAUCAGCCAAGCCUGACCGGCAGUUGGACAAGGCUUGAUCAAGCCUCACCCGAUGAAGCAAAGCUAGCUAGUGGCUAGGCGAGCCUCCAACAAGCUCGCCGAACCCCGUCCAACCAAUCGAGCCUCACCUAACCAAGCAAAGCUGGCCAAUGGCUAGGCGAGCCUCCAACGAGCUCAUCGAACCUCGUCUAACCAAUUGUGAGCGAAUGGCGACGGCAGUGGAAACAAAAGAGAGAAGGAAGAAGAAAAAGAAGAAAAGAAGAAGAAAAAAGAGAAAAAAAGAAAGUUGAGUUAGCUUGAUUCUAGAAUUGUUCUCGGAAAUGAAGAAAUAACUUUCUUUUACUCUUUUGAUUUUUUUCUCAGGAACAAAAAAUUUACCAAAUAGAUUUAUGUUCUUCUUUUGUUCCCAAGAACCAAAAAAUGAAAUUAGGUAUGGUUUGAUCAAUUGCCAAAGACACCCUAGACUUCCUAAGAGGACAAAAGGUACGCAAGUUUUUUGCUUUGGUAGGCAACCCAACUUUUUCUGCACUUAUUUCUCCAUAUGCACAAGACCACUCGAAGCACACUGAUAGUCCCAUGUUCAAGCAGGAAAAAAUCAGAGAGACUUACCCGAGUCGGGUCUGACUGUGGUCUGGACCGAGUAACCACGUUCAAGGAGCCUCAUGAUGAGCCAUGAAGCAAUGAAGCCAGUACCACCCGUCACGCACACUGUCCCUUUGUUGCCCUCCAUAGUUCGAAGAAGUGUAAAGCUUGAAGUUCCAGAAAGCAGCGAACUUUCUCAAGUGUGACCUUGAUGUUUGGCUGGCAAGAGUGUUGCGCACGUCACAGGCCUAUAUACUUUGACAUCGAACUGUCCACCCCUUACUAGAGUCAGCCUAAACUCGAUCUUACCCUCGACCUGUCCCUGAUUCGACCCACCAUAGAUCCACAACUAGUUUGCUUUUCAUACUAGUAGAGAGAGGUUAUCACAGAUGGUCAACCCCUACAAUACAACAUAGCCCUCUUUUUUUUUAAGGACUCACUCGCUAGAUUUGUGCUUCACGGUUCUUCCUUCUUUUAUUGAUUUAACAUUCUGGAGCAUUGUAUCCGUCACUCCCUAUUGGUCUCAGUCCCAAUGUGACGGCGUAUGUGACGGCGUGCACAUGCCGAUACACUGUACAUGGACGGUGUUUUAAAACGUUGGGAAAAGGUUUCAUAAUCAAUUCGCAUCCUCACUUUUUAACAAUAAUGAUCUGCUUCCGAAGUUCAAGCACUGGACGCUAGAACUUCGAAUUGCAUCUGCCGUCCAAUGCUAUUUUUGUCCAAUCUAUCUACCAAAGCGGCAUGUUCUUUCCAGAAUAUAAGGAAAGACGGGGAAGCUUGGAGACACACACAGACAAUCUAGCGGGAGAUAAGCGCAGAAAACGUAAUUGAUACAUAUGAUUUAUGUGAUUCGACCUAGUACGCCUAAUCCCGGGGAAAGAGAUGGACAAGAUGCUUGAUUAUGAUCAACAACAACGUAUUACAAUGGCUCGAGACAAAGUUUUGUGACUGUCAUUACAUGGUAUGGUGAUGGUGUUGUGGAGUUUGAUAGAAGAAAAUAAUUUUUAAGUGCAGAACUUUUACUGGCAUAUAUGUAAUUUUUAUGUUACACAAGGAAUAAAGCUUUUAUUGUUGCUAAUACAAGCAAGUAAUUUUCAUCAUAACUAUGUAUGCCCUAUACUCUUGCUAUCUAUAUUGUGGCACCAUGGUUUUUCUCCUUAUGAUUUUUUGAAACAGUUUUCAUGUAAAAAAAUUUAUUGUUUUCUUCUUUAUUUUUUCUCUUCAAACAUUCACAGUCGAAACAUAUAGUUUCCCAAAUUCUAAUAAAAAAGAUAGGAAGUGUUUACUUCGCAAACUCCCUAAGCUCUCUCUUGAAUUAGGCUUUUCAUUCUAAGUGAAAUAGAUCGAAAACCAAACUUAGAACUCAACCGUGCGUGUGUUUUAAGGGUGAGUAAGACAGACCAAUUGAGCAAUUGGACAAGGAACCGCUCAGACUGGAUUGAACCAGCCAGUUGGGUCCAAUUCCUAAAAGUGCCAGUCCAUCUCUCAAUUCCAAGGGGGAAUCCGACUAACAGGACUAGACUGACUAUAUAUAUAUAUAUAUAUAUAUAUAUAUAUAUAUAUAUAUUUCUUUGUAAAAUUGAGAGAAGAGAGCUACGUGAAUAAAUUUGUUUCGCUCCCAUCAGUACUUAAAUCUCUCGCCUUCUUUCUUUUUGUUCAUAUUUUCCUUUUGAGUUUGGCUGAGCUGACCAUCGCUCCGUAAUGACUGCUCAUUUGCGAUGAAACCGGUUUGACUUUUUCAACCGGUUUCAUCUCACCCAAUUUUUUUUUAUUUUUUAUUGCAAGCUUAAAUUGAGAGAUAAAAUCUCAAGAGGGCCUACACAAUCAAUUUUCAUGAAUAUGAUGAAAAACUAAUUAGAAUAAUUACAAAUAAAAAAUAUUAUCACCUAAAAGAAAUUGUUAAUGUCAUUAUAUAAAUCUAUUUAAUUUACAAGAUGAAAAAGCACUUGAAACGUUGGCUUUGCAAUUAAUAACAAAAUCAUUGUUGGCUUCUUAGUUCUUUCGCCAAAAUUAAAUUUCUUUAGAAAGACUCUUUAGUGACCUAAAAUUAAGACCACUGAUAUCGAUUACACAUAAAAUGAAUGAAGUAAUGAACCGACCAAAAAAAAAAAAAUGAAGUAAUGAAAGGAACAAAAUAGGAAUAAUGCAUUAGUAGAGAAGAAAAUUUACCCCCUCCAAAUCUCGUAAAUUAAGAUGUGUUGGGCCUCAAAUAAUACAAAAUCAAUCUUAGUCUCAAGUGUUUUUUCAUCUUUUAAAUUUAAUAUAUCUAAAUAAUGACAUUAACGAUUUAUUUUUAGUAUGUGAUAAUAUUUUUUACUUGUAAUUAUUUAUAUUUUAUUAUAAUUUAUUUUUUCAUCAUAUUCAUGAAAAUUGAUUGUGUGGGUCCUCUUAAGAUUUUAUCUCUCAAUUUAAGCUUGCAAUAAAAAAAAAAACAUAAAAAAAGGAAAAAAAAAUUGGGAGAAAUGAAACCAGUUGAAAAGGUCAUCUUGUUUCAUCACAAAAUGAGCUGUCAUUAAUUGACCAUCACUCCGUCACUUGAUGGGGGAGGGUCAGCUAAGUGACGGAGUGAUGGCAAUUUUUUCUUUCGUUUUAAUUCUUGCUUAUUGACCCACCUUUCCCAUUAUCUUCCAAAGAAAAUAUUCCUCUCUGCCUCCUUGUGACUAGAUUCUCUUGCCAACUUUUUGCCAAAAUAAAAUAGAGACAAUGACAAUCUCCUUUGCUUCUCUCUUCAAUCACCGCCACAUUUUUUGCCCCUUUUUACAUAGUCUGGAAGAAUUAAUUCCUUUGAUCAUGCUGGCCAAAAUUUACAAGAGAAAAGCCUGGAAGAUUUUUCUAAUUGAUUGGUUGGACCUCUUUCUUUUGGCCCAAAAAAAGCCGACACCUCUUGCCCUCUUUUUUUUUUUUUUUUAAUUUCAUCUUCAUGUUAAAUAAGUGAUCGAUUCCAUUGGACCAAACUAAACAAGAAACCAAUUACCCUUAGCGUGUUUUGAAGUUUCAAUGUAUCUAGGAUGUGUGGUAAAUUGCUAAUCUAGUCCUAAAUUUAUUAUCCAGAUCUCAUUUAAGUCAUAAACAUUUCAAUUAAUUCAAUAUAGUUAGUAAAAGUAUCAAAAAAGUUAUAAAUAUGUUCAAUUUGUACCAAUUCAGUUCAAAACCUUUCAAUUGAAUCAAUUUAGUCCCAAACACUUGCACAUUGAUACCAAUUCAAUUCAUCCAGUUAAUUUAAGCUAGAAAUUACUAACGUAAAUGUCAAGUGUUCUACUUAACAUGACUGGUAUUGAUAUUGACAUUUUUAAAUAAUUUUUUGAUUUUGAUUUUAUUUUUCUUUUCUUUCUUUUCUUUUUUCAUUUUUCCUCCUCUUUUUUUUUGGCUACCGAGGGUCUCUCAUGACCCUUGUCAGCCACGAGGCGAGGGCUAGCAAACCCUCGUCGGCCACAGGCGAUGGUCGCAGCCCUCGCCUAGGCAAUGCCUUCGCGCUAGGGACGCGAUGGCCCUUGAGUAUUUGCAGAGAUCUGAAUUAAAUGGAGUAUAAAUGAAUCGACCAAAAAAAGCUAGAAGCUACUGCAACUCUGCUGAAACUGUCAACGAUAUUCGCGAAGAGCAAAAGGUACCCAUACGGCGUGGUGUGAUAUAAGUGCAUAUAUUCUCGGCACCACAAUAUCAAACACAGAAGGACAGAAACAAGCAGUACCAUAUUAUUCACGCGGUUUGAUAUCUCGCACAAAGCCCUCGGAUAAAUCAUAUGACAUGAACCCAGGACAGAUCAGAAUAGAAAUAGGUCAUACCGUAUGGCAUGAUGCCAUUUUAUCACUUUGAACAUUACUAUGCUCGGCCUAAGGCACCGAAUUCUAUCAUAAACAUGGAACAGAGAUUGAUCUAGAGAAAGCCCUUUUCUUUGCAGCACUGGAUAGCUCCAUCAAACAUGUCCUCGAUCCUGUACUUAUACUCGAAGCCAGUGUCCAACAGCUUCCUCGACGAAAGGCUGGCGAGCCUGGGACCUUUCACUUCCUUCAAGGACCUACAAAGAUUUAAAAAACUCUGCUCUCAGUUCAAGAACAGCAAUAGUAGAUCUGUUAAAUCAUGAGAUGGGAUACAGCAGGACUUACUCCAGUGAGGGUAUCUGAAACUCCGGGUAUCUUUCCGAGAGAAACUUCCACAUCUCUUCGAUGGUCAUCGUGGCUGAGGAACAUAUGUACCGGCCCUUGGCGUCGGGGUGCUUGAAGAGGAAGAUGUGUGCUCUCACCACGUCGUCCACAUGCACGAGAGAUGCUCUGAGGAGAAUAGAGUAAUCAUUCUCGUUCCCU